CCCCUAGAUGUUCUGGGCCGCACGCGCGCUACACUGAACAGUUCAACAAGUCUUAACCUUGGCCGAUAGGUCUGGGUAAUCUUUGAACGCUGUUCGUGAUUGGGAUAGACCUUUGCAAUUAUGGGUCUUCAACGAGGAAUUCCUAGUAAACGCAAGUCAUCAGCUUGCAUUGAUUACGUCCCUGCCCUUUGUACACACCGCCCGUCGCACCUACCGAUUGAAUGGUCCGGUGAAAUCUCGGGACGGCGGCUUGGUCGCUUGCGUCCGACUGCUGAAACUUGAUUAAACCAUAUCAUUUAGAGGAAGGGGAAGUCGUANCA
rnacentral:rRNA from 1 species